UACAGAGGGGGCAAGCGUUGUUCGGAAUUACUGGGCGUAAAGGGCGCGUAGGCGGCCUUCUAAGUCGAACGUGAAAUCCCCCGGGCUCAACCCGGGAACUGCGUCCGAUACUGGAAGGCUUGAAUCCGGGAGAGGGAUGCGGAAUUCCAGGUGUAGCGGUGAAAUGCGUAGAUAUCUGGAGGAACACCGGUGGCGAAGGCGGCAUCCUGGACCGGUAUUGACGCUGAGGCGCGAAAGCCAGGGAGCAAAGCGGG
rnacentral:rRNA from 1 species